GUGGGGAAUAUUGGACAAUGGGCGAAAGCCUGAUCCAGCCAUGCCGCGUGUGUGAAGAAGGUCUUCGGAUUGUAAAGCACUUUAAGUUGGGAGGAAGGGCAGUAAGUUAAUACCUUGCUGUUUUGACGUUACCAACAGAAUAAGCACCGGCUAACUUCGUGCCAGCAGCCGCGGUAAUACGAAGGGUGCAAGCGUUAAUCGGAAUUACUGGGCGUAAAGCGCGCGUAGGUGGUUCAGCAAGUUGAAGGUGAAAUCCCCGGGCUCAACCUGGGAACUGCCUCCAAAACUGAAUGACUAGAGUACGGUAGAGGGUAGUGGAAUUUCCUGUGUAGCGGUGAAAUGCGUAGAUAUAGGAAGGAACACCAGUGGCGAAGGCGACUACCUGGACUGAUACUGACACUGAGGUGCGAAAGCGUGGGGAGCAAACAGGAUUAGAAACCCCAGUAGUCC
rnacentral:rRNA from 1 species